CUGGCCACCGCAGCCAGCAGCCGCAACCCUCUAGGUCCCCUUCCAUGCUGUGGAAGCUUUGUUCUUUUGCCCUUUGCAAUCAAUCUUGCUGCUGCUUACUCUUUGGGGCCGCAGUACCUUUGUAAGCUGUAACACUCACCGCAAAGGUCUGCGGUUUCACUCCUGAAGCCAGUGAGACCACGAACCCACUGGGAGGAACGAACAACUCUGGACACACAGCCUUUAAGAGCUGUAACGCUCACUGCGAAGGUGUGCGGCUUCACUCCUGCAGUCAUCAAGACCACGAACCCACCAGAAGGAAGAAACUCUGGACACAUCUGAACAUCUGAAGGAACAAACUCCGGACACACCAUCUUUAAGAACUUUAACACUCACCGCAAGGGUCCACAGCGUCAUUCUUGAAGUCAGUGAGACCAAGAACCCACUGGAAGGAACUAAUUCUGGACACACUGUGAUCACAUCACUGUACUUCAGCCUGGGUGACACAGUGAGACCCUGUCUCUAAUUAAAAACAAAAAUUAGAAUAUUGCUCCUGUGCAAUAUCAAAUGCUUAGUGGAUCUAGGUGAUGAUUGUCAAUGACUGCUAAUAAUACAUGAAGAAACAACCACAUAUUAUAUACUACUAAUCUAUGGAAAUAAGGGAGGGAGAAAUACAUUGAGAAACACUGCAGGAAUGCUAUCAGAAAAGUCCAGAAUAUAAGAAAUUCUAUAUCAAAUAACAUUUUUCAACAAAAGAAACUGAGAGAAAAGAAAAAGAAAUGAAAGCACAAUUUGCAGGUUAAAAGAAGAGUCCUCAAGAAUCUGGGGAAGAGAACUGAAUGAAUGAGAGCUCGUGGCAGGAGGGAGAAUGUCCUCUGAACACUUCUCCUUGCUGCUGCCCUAUGAAGAAGGACAUGUUUGCUUCCCCUUCCCCCGUAAUUGUAAGUUUUCUGAGGCCUCCCCAGCCCUACAGAACGGUGAGUAAAUUAAACCUCUUUCCUUUAUAAAUUACUCAGUCUUGGGUAUGUCUUUAUUAGCAGCAUGAGAAUGGACUAAUCCACUAAUCAAAGAAUGAAUGAGGUAAAAUAAAUAUUAGAAUUAUAUUUAAGACAACAUAGUCACUUCCGUAAUUUAAACAACAUGGGAAGUAGCAUCAUUCUUCCAGUAAUGAUCUGAAAAUUCUAUGGUAAAGUUAAAUUUCAGGUGCCUUACAUAGACCUAGGAAAAUUCUUCUAAAAAAUUAUAAUAAAAUACACAGACCACCACCACCAUCAUCACCACUACCACCACCAUGUAGCUUCUAAGAGCUUUUCAGGAAGUUCACAAGAAAAUACAGUGGAAACUCUGACUAUUUAUAAUUUAGCAAGAGGGGAUUUUCACUAAGUGAAACAUCAUAUCUGAGCCUCCUUGAUUCAAUUAUAUGAAGAUUAAAUUACUUUUUCAUAUACCACUACAGGUCAAUGGAUUCCAUAAUCUUUUCUCAUUUCAUUUAAAUCUGGAUUACCACAAUGCCAAAUAAGAAGAAAUUGGAUAGACGAGACUUAUGGAUAAAUUUUACACAAACAUCGGGUCAUAGGUCACUUAAAGC
rnacentral:lncRNA from 10 species